rfam:Myotis brandtii contig276409, whole genome shotgun sequence.
GAGACACCCUUCUGGGGCAAGACUUGCUUCAGUGGGGCUUUGUUGUUCACUGAGUCUGCCCCCUGAGUGUGUCCCU